GUCGAGGGGUAACAGGAGUAGCUUGCUAUUUGCUGACGACCGGCGCACGGGUGCGUAACGCGUAUAGAAUCUACCUUAUACUGGGGGAUAGCCUUUGGAAACGAAGAUUAAUACCCCAUAGUAUUAUUUUUUGGCAUCAUUAAAUAAUUAAAGUUUCGGCGGUAUAAGAUGACUAUGCGUUCUAUUAGUUAGUUGGUAAGGUAACGGCUUACCAAGACUUCGAUAGAUAGGGGUCCUGAGAGGGAGAUCCCCCACACUGGUACUGAGACACGGACCAGACUCCUACGGGAGGCAGCAGUGAGGAAUAUUGGACAAUGGAGGCAACUCUGAUCCAGCCAUGCCGCGUGUAGGAAGACUGCCCUAUGGGUUGUAAACUACUUUUAUAUGGGAAGAAUAAGAUCUACGUGUAGAUNGAUGACGGUACCAUAAGAAUAAGCACCGGCUAACUCCGUGCCAGCAGCCGCGGUAAUACGGAGGGUGCAAGCGUUAUCCGGAAUCAUUGGGUUUAAAGGGUCCGUAGGCGGGCAUAUAAGUCAGUGGUGAAAGUCUGUGGCUNAACCAUAGAAUUGCCAUUGAUACUGUAUGUCUUGAAUUAUUGUGAAGUGGUUAGAAUAUGUAGUGUAGCGGUGAAAUGCUUAGAGAUUACAUAGAAUACCGAUUGCGAAGGCAGAUCACUAACAAUAUAUUGACGCUGAUGGACGAAAGCGUAGGUAGCGAACAGGAUUAGAUACCCUGGUAGUCUACGCCGUAAACGAUGGAUACUAGUUGUUUGGUUUUCGGACUGAGUGACUAAGCGAAAGUGAUAAGUAUCCCACCUGGGGAGUACGUUCGCAAGAAUGAAACUCAAAGGAAUUGACGGGGGCCCGCACAAGCGGUGGAGCAUGUGGUUUAAUUCGAUGAUACGCGAGGAACCUUACCAGGGCUUAAAUGUAGUCUGACAGCUUUAGAGAUAGAGUUUUCUUCGGACAGAUUACAAGGUGCUGCAUGGUUGUCGUCAGCUCGUGCCGUGAGGUGUCAGGUUAAGUCCUAUAACGAGCGCAACCCCUGUGGUUAGUUGCCAGCGAGUAAUGUCGGGAACUCUAGCCAGACUGCCGGUGCAAACCGUGAGGAAGGUGGGGAUGACGUCAAAUCAUCACGGCCCUUACGUCCUGGGCCACACACGUGCUACAAUGGUAGGGACAGAGAGCAGCCACUUAGCGAUAAGGAGCGAAUCUAUAAACCCUAUCUCAGUUCGGAUUGGAGUCUGCAACUCGACUCCAUGAAGCUGGAAUCGCUAGUAAUCGGAUAUCAGCCAUGAUCCGGUGAAUACGUUCCCGGGCCUUGUACACACCGCCCGUCAAGCCAUNGAAGCUGGGGGUACCUGAAGUCCGUCACCGUAAGGAGC
rnacentral:rRNA from 1 species